CUACGUGCCAGCAGCCGCGGUAAUACGUAUGUCGCAAGCGUUAUCCGGAAUUAUUGGGCAUAAAGGGCAUCUAGGCGGCCAGACAAGUCUGGGGUGAAAACUUGCGGCUCAACCGCAAGCCUGCCCUGGAAACUGUUUGGCUAGAGUGCUGGAGAGGUGGACGGAACUGCACGAGUAGAGGUGAAAUUCGUAGAUAUGUGCAGGAAUGCCGAUGAUGAAGAUAGUUCACUGGACGGCAACUGACGCUGAAGUGCGAAAGCUGGGGGAGCGAACAGGAUUAGAUACCCUGGUAGUCCCAGCCGUAAACGAUGAUUACUGGGUGUGGGCAUGAAGAGUGUCCGUGCCGAAGCAAAUGCGAUAAGUAAUCCGCCUGGGGAGUACGGCCGCAAGGCUGAAACUCAAAGGAAUUGACGGGGACCCGCACAAGCGGUGGAGCAUGUGGUUUAAUUCGACGCAACGCGAGGAACCUUACCAGAUCUUGACAUCCC
rnacentral:rRNA from 1 species